UAUGUAGCACAGUGGUAGGGUGCUUGCCUAGCAAGUGUGAGGCCCUGGGUGUGAUCCCCAGCACUAG
rnacentral:tRNA from 1 species